rnacentral:rRNA from 1 species
AGAGUUUGAUCAUGGCUCAGAUUGAACGCUGGCGGCAGGCCUAACACAUGCAAGUCGAGCGGUAGCACAGAGAGCUUGCUCUCGGGUGACGAGCGGCGGACGGGUGAGUAAUGUCUGGGAAACUGCCUGAUGGAGGGGGAUAACUACUGGAAACGGUAGCUAAUACCGCAUAACGUCGCAAGACCAAAGUGGGGGACCUUCGGGCCUCAUGCCAUCAGAUGUGCCCAGAUGGGAUUAGCUAGUAGGUGAGGUAACGGCUCACCUAGGCGACGAUCCCUAGCUGGUCUGAGAGGAUGACCAGCCACACUGGAACUGAGACACGGUCCAGACUCCUACGGGAGGCAGCAGUGGGGAAUAUUGCACAAUGGGCGCAAGCCUGAUGCAGCCAUGCCGCGUGUGUGAAGAAGGCCUUCGGGUUGUAAAGCACUUUCAGCGGGGAGGAAGGCGUUAAGGUUAAUAACCUUGGCGAUUGACGUUACCCGCAGAAGAAGCACCGGCUAACUCCGUGCCAGCAGCCGCGGUAAUACGGAGGGUGCAAGCGUUAAUCGGAAUUACUGGGCGUAAAGCGCACGCAGGCGGUCUGUCAAGUCGGAUGUGAAAUCCCCGGGCUUAACCUGGGAACUGCAUUCGAAACUGGCAGGCUAGAGUCUUGUAGAGGGGGGUAGAAUUCCAGGUGUAGCGGUGAAAUGCGUAGAGAUCUGGAGGAAUACCGGUGGCGAAGGCGGCCCCCUGGACAAAGACUGACGCUCAGGUGCGAAAGCGUGGGGAGCAAACAGGAUUAGAUACCCUGGUAGUCCACGCCGUAAACGAUGUCGA